UAGCUCAAUUGGUAGAGUGCUUGCCUUGCAUGCACAAGGCUCUGGGUUCAAUCCCCAG
rnacentral:tRNA from 1 species